UGGGGAAUCUUGCACAAUGGGCGAAAGCCUGAUGCAGCCAUGCCGCGUGAAUGAUGAAGGCCUUAGGGUUGUAAAAUUCUUUCGCUAGGGACGAUAAUGACGGUACCUAGUAAAGAAGCCCCGGCUAACUUCGUGCCAGCAGCCGCGGUAAUACGAAGGGGGCUAGCGUUGUUCGGAAUUACUGGGCGUAAAGCGCGCGUAGGCGGACUAUCAAGUUGGAUGUGAAAUCCCAGGGCUCAACUCUGGAACUGCAUUCAAAACUGGUAGUCUAGAGGCCAGGAGAGGUCAGUGGAAUACCGAGUGUAGAGGUGAAAUUCGUAGAUAUUCGGUGGAACACCAGUGGCGAAGGCGACUGACUGGACUGGUACUGACGCUGAGGUGCGAAAGUGUGGGGAGCAAACAGG
rnacentral:rRNA from 1 species